CAUUAUUUACUUUGAAAGAUCGGAUAUUGCUGCCGUUUUAUUUCCUGUUUAGUGCGUGCCAGUGCCAUAUAUUUAGAGAGUCACGACACUCCCAUAGGGAUCCAUUAUACGAUUUUACUUCCGGGUACUUCCGGGUUAUGGAGCCUUGGAUAAUUACAAACAGCGCAUUUGACAUGACGGACACCAUUCAUUUGAACGGCAGGCUGUCAAGUAUAUUCGGAGAGGCCCUUUGUGACAUACACUUAUCUCUUUGAUGCACAUGGAUUGAAUUCUCAAUCGCAGCCUAAUCUGCUCCACAACAUUGGAGGAUUCCAUGAGGGAAUCAUUCGUUGCCGAACGGAACAGCUGCUCGACAUCCUUAAAGAGAGUGAAGACCUCAUCCGAUGGCCGGUGCUUCAACCAAUGCACACUGGCAUUGGUUGCAGAGUGAGAAGCUGAUGACCCUCUUCACUAUGCAUCCUGCCAGAUGGUAAAGGACACAUGACUCUGUGAAUUCAGUUGCCAUUUUGCCUGACAGCGUGGUCCCUGGCGCAUCUGGGCCUAGUGUUGUGGCGCCACCGCUGGUUCCUGAUUGGUCGGCACCCGGCUCAUCCACCCCUGGAUCACCUGGCCUGGAUACGUCAUUGUCAUUGUGCUCACUUUCGCCCAACCUUCCCACCUCAAUUUCUCCCUGAAUGUCUGUAACAAUAACAAGGCAUUCUUAAUUUUAUAUGCAGUCAAUGUUUUUACAUUUGCACCUAUUGUCAUCUCCAAAGUAAGGGUACACUACACUCCUAAAGGGAAAAAAAAAAUAACGGACAUUACUGUUACAUGAAUCAAAUCAUCUGCCACAAUCAGAAACUGCUAUGGCAUUGCCAUGUGUCAACAGUCUGGUGAUAUCAUGGAGUUGGUUCUGCUUUGCUGUUGUAUCCACCAGAAAUGUUUAGUUAUAGGUGAAAAUUAAAUGCAUAAAUAAAGCUAAAUUAUGAAGUAACUAACAAUGAAGUAGAUCGAAAUUUUGUGUGUAAAUCCCAGGACAAUUCCUGACCUCUUGUAUUUGAAGCUGAAUGUAUUAAUAUGAAAAAUGUAAUUAUCUUAUUAGGAGUGUAGUUUAUCCUUGAAUUACUUGGCAUGGGAAAUGUUGUUGACAGCUGGUCUGUAUCAUACCCAAGUUUAACCUGGUGCAAUAUGUAUGGUCCGUUUGAAUUUUGGUUGGAGGCACACUCCUAAAGGGAAGUUUCCUCCUCUUUGGCUUCGAACGAUGAAUGAAAAUGGUUGGGACAGCAUCUGGCCUCAAUUUAAAUGUGUGCCCUACUUUGGUUGGCGUAAACUGGUCCUCCUCAAAGUGUUCCUGAUGUUUGGUUCGCAAGAUCAGUUUCCAUUCUACUUAAAAUUAAAAAAAAAAAAAAAAAAAAAAUUAAAAGUCAUAAUACCGUGACUUACAUGACAGAGUUUAUAGUUGUUGCUGGCCCCCUUCAAUUUCAGAUUUUUACAGCUGACCAUUGCCAGCCAUUGUUUCUGCCGGUCUUUGUCCUUCGGGAAACCAUACAUUCGGUAGCCCUUUUCGGACCGAUUGGUGCAUCCAAAAGCUGCACAACCAACCAUCACGAUCUCUAAAAUGUUAGGUGUGAGCACUGAAUCAUGACACCAAUUUUACCUAUUUAAUAAAAAAUAAAUAUUACUGUAAUAUUAAAUAUUUUCUUUAUCAAAGGGUAAUACGUUAUGUAAUAUAUUACCACAGGUAAGUGUAUCAAGAAAAUCUGGGCAUUCUCUGGAAAAACAGUAUUCUAGUUGUGGGGGGGGAAUUCCAUCUUGCAUUUCAAUGUAUAAGUUGAUUUCCAAUGCUAUUGCUAACACAAACAUGAAACUCCCUCCAAGACAUGGGAACUUUCCCUUCUGUGUAACAGUUUACAUAGUUUUCAGUUGUUGCCUUACCACUCCAAAUGUAAAACUAGCAUUUAUAAACACUAUAGUGCAAUGACAUAAUCAAACAAGUACUUAAAAUACGUGAUUUUAUCUAUUUUUACCAUAAAUGGAGCAAUCACCGCUAACUGGUUCAUGGAAUACUAUUACAGCGCUGCUUGUGUUUGUAACUAUACACGCCUACAUGAGGCACGUGACCACCCGCGGUGACAUGAGAGAGAGUCGCAACUCUAAAUGGUGCGUGCUAAACAUUAACAGGGCUUCAUCCGGCCGCGGGUUUGCACAUCAGAGGCUCGUCUUUGCAAGCCAUUAUAUCAAAUGUCCACUAGAUGGUGCCAGAGUGAACUACUUGGACGAUGUAUACAAUUUGAUGCAGCUACAGUGGGGCAAAUAAGUAUUUAGUCAACCACUAAUUGUGCAAGUUCUCCCACUUGAAAAUAGAGAGGCCUGUAAUUGUCAACAUGGAUAAACCUCAACCACGAGAGACAGAAAAUAAGUAUAAUAUUUAUAUGUAUAAAUAUAUAUAUAUAAUAUUUGGUCUAUACCACAAGUUCAUCUCAAUACUUUGUUAUGUACCCUUUGUUGGCAAUAACGGCGGCCAAACGUUUUCUGUAACUCUUCACAAGCUUUUUACACAUUGUUGCUGGUAUUUUGGCCCAUUCCUCCAUGCAGAUCUCCUUUAGAGCAGUGAUGUUUUGGGGCUGUCGUUGGGCAACACACUUUCAACUCCCUCCUCACCCCGUGGUGUCAAAAUGAUAACAAGAAUGGGGAGCAAAAAUCCCAGAACCACACGGGGGGACCUAGUGAAUGACCUACUUAGAGCUGGACCACAGUAACAAAGGAUACUAUCAGUAACACAAUGCGCCGCCAGGGACUCAAAUCCUGCACUGCCAGACGUGUCCCCCUGCUGGAGAAAGUACACGUCCAGGCCCGUCUGCGGUUUGCUGGAGAGCAUUUGGAUGAACCAGAAAAGGACUGGGAGAAUGUGUUAUGGUCAGAUGAAACUAAAAUAGAACUUUUUGGUAGAAACACAGCUUCUCUUGUUUGGAGGAAAAAGAAUACUGAAUUUCACCAUACCCACUGUGAAGCAUGGGCGUGGAAACAUCAUGCUUUGGGGCUGUUUUUCUGCAAAGGGACCAGGACGACUGAUCUGUGUUAAGGAAAGAAUGAAUGGGGCCAUGUAUCGAGAGAUUUUGAGUGAAAAUCUCCUUCCAUCAGCAAGGGCAUUGAAGAUGAGAUGUGGCUGGGUCUUUCAGCAUGACAAUGAUCCCAAGUACACAGUCAGGGCAACAAAGGAGUGGCUUCGUAAGAAGCAUUUCAAGGUCCUGGAGUGGCCUAGCCAGUCUCCAGGUCUCAACCCCAUAGAAAAUCUGCGGAGGGAG